rnacentral:sRNA from 1 species
CACUAGCCCCGAUAGUAGUGGAAAUCCUUUUGUGCCACCGUUCGACACAAAAGAUUGGAACGUAUAGCGGGAAUAACU